UACGAAGGACCCAAGCGUUAUCCGGAUUUAUUGGGUUUAAAGGGUGCGUAGGCGGGUUGUUAAGUCAGUGGUGAAAGCCUACAGCUUAACUGUAGAAUUGCCAUUGAUACUGACGAUCUUGAGUAUGAUUGAGGUGGGCGGAAUGUGUCAUGUAGCGGUGAAAUGCUUAGAUAUGACACAGAACACCGAUUGCGAAGGCAGCUCACUAAGCCAUAACUGACGCUGAUGCACGAAAGCGUGGGGAGCAAACAGG
rnacentral:rRNA from 1 species